rnacentral:rRNA from 1 species
AUUGAACGCUGGCGGAAUGCUUUACACAUGCAAGUCGAACGGCAGCACGGACUUCGGUCUGGUGGCGAGUGGCGAACGGGUGAGUAAUACAUCGGAACGUGCCCAGUCGUGGGGGAUAACGUAGCGAAAGCUACGCUAAUACCGCAUACGAUCUAAGGAUGAAAGCGGGGGAUCGCAAGACGUCGCGCGAUUGGAGCGGCCGAUGGCAGAUUCGGUAGUUGGUGGGGUAAAGGCUCACCAAGCCGACGAUCUGUAGCUGGUCUGAGAGGACGACCAGCCACACUGGGACUGAGACACGGCCCAGACUGCUACGGGAGGCAGCAGUGGGGAAUUUUGGACAAUGGGCGCAAGCCUGAUCCAGCCAUUCCGCGUGCAGGAUGAAGGCCCUCGGGUUGUAAACUGCUUUUGUACGGAACGAAAAGGCUCUGGUUAAUACCUGGGGCUCAUGACGGUACCGUAAGAAUAAGCACCGGCUAACUACGUGCCAGCCGCCGCAGUAA